rnacentral:rRNA from 1 species
GACGAACGCUGGCGGCGUGCUUAACACAUGCAAGUCGAGCGGUAAGGCCCUUUCGGGGGGUACACGAGCGGCGAACGGGUGAGUAACACGUGGGUGACCUGCCCUCAGCUCUGGGGAUAAGCCUGGGAAACCGGGUCUAAUACCGGAUAUGACUCCAUGACGCAUGUUGGUGGGGUGGAAAGCCUUGUGCGGCUGAGGAUGGGCCCGCGGCCUAUCAGUCUUGGUUGGUGGGGUGAUGGCCUACCAAGGCGACGACGGGUAGCCGGCCUGAGAGGGCGACCGGCCACACUGGGACUGAGACAC